GUGAAAUGCGUAGAGAUCCGGAAGAACACCAAAGGCGAAGGCAGUGUCCUGGUUGGUACCUGACGCUCAGAGGCGACAGCUAGGGGAGCGAACGGGAUUAGAUACCCCGGUAGUCCUAGCCGUAAACGAUGACCACGAGAUGUCCGGGGGAUCGACCCCCUGGGUGUCGAAGCAAACGCAGUCAGUGGUCCGCCUGGGGAGUACGGUCGCAAGAUUAAAACUCAAAGGAAUUGACGGGGACCCGCACAAGCAGCGGAGCGUGUGGUUUAAUUCGAUGCAACGCGAAGCACCUUACCAGGGUUUGACAUGUCUUCGCACCUCUAGGAGACUAGAGUGCCCGCAAGGGACGGAGACACAGGUGCUGCAUGGCUGUCGUCAGCUCGUGCCGUGAGGUGUUGGGUUAAGUCCCGCAACGAGCGCAACCCUCAUUGCUAGUUGGAUAUAUCUAGCGAGACUGCCACGAUCAACGUGGAGGAAGGUGGGGAUGACGUCAAGUCAGCACGGCCCUUACAUCCUGGGCGACACACACGCUACAAUGGUCGAGACAACGAGUUGCCAACCCGCGAGGGGGAGCUAAUCUCAACAAACUCGAUCUCAGUUCAGAUUGCAGGCUGCAACCCGCCUGCAUGAAGUCGGAGUUGCUAGUAACCGUGAGUCAGCACAUCACGGUGAAUACGUUCCCGGGUCUUGUACACACCGCCCGUCACACCACGAAAGUCGGCAACCCCUGAAGCCGCUGGGCUAACUCGUAAGAGAGGCAAGCGUCGAGGGUGGGGUCGGUGAUUGGGGUGAAGUCGUAACAAGGUAACCGU
rnacentral:rRNA from 1 species